CCGAAGAGGUGUGGGGCGGGGAGGGCGCCCGGGAGGCACCGGGCGCCGUUAGCGCCCUGGCAUCGCUGUUUUGUUGUUGGGUCACGAGUGCGCCUCUGCACGCAGGCGCCGCCGCCGCCCGAGAGUUGUGUGCAGAGCUGACUUUUGGAGGGCUGAGUUGCAGGCGGCGGGCGCAUCCCGGAGAUGGCGGGGCAGGGAGGGAGGGAAGGAGGAGGGGUUGGGGAGGGAGGUGCAGAUUUGCACGGCUGGCCUCAGCGGGAGGCGCGGAAAUGCAAGCCGAGCUUGCUGGCGUGAAAGCCCCCGGGGCCUGGCACCCCCAAAAACGACCCCCCACCUUAAUCCCUGCCCCCAUUUGCCCCAGGCCCCCACGGGCUACCCGGCUUCCUCUUCCUUCAUCCACCCCACCCCAUUACCUACGUGGCCGACCCAAAUGCAAAACAUUUUGUAUAUAUAAUUCCUUUUUUUUUUGCUUUUCUACUGCAUGUCUUUUGGGGGGGUCUGGGGGCGAUCCUCUCCAGACCCCCAUAUGCGAACCUGCCAUUGGAGAAGGCAUUUGGGGAUUCAGGAAGAAAUUAGCGCAGCUCCAUACCUGUACGGACUGCAUGGCUUUUAAACUCCGGGACUCAAAGAUAUGGACCCACACAACACACACACAGGUACAGGAAAUAUAGCCAGACCAGAGCCUUUUCAGACCCAAGCUGACCGGAAGACGUUGCCUUUCAUUCAUUCAUUCUGCCCGCGUCUGUGGAGUCCUUUACUAGGCGACGAGCCCUGGAACAGAAAUUGGACAUUUUUUAAAGGUCCUUGCGCUCGCCAAGAGGAGGAAAUAGAUGCUCAGGAGUGAAAUACCGAGAGAAUCGGAUCUGGCGCCUCCUAACGCAGCUGGCAAACAGGCGAAGGUCCCUUGCAGAUUGAAGUACUGGGGCAAGAAAGAGCAGAAUUACAUACAGCCUGACACAGGCUUCGGUCAUGUGGGGAAGACUUCAAUUUAUGUCUAGAGUUCUGCAUUUUCUAAUAUCCUCUUCCCGUGCGAGGAUUGGAAGGAAACUUGGAAAUAACAGCAACUAUUCACGGCAGAGGACAGGCCUUUUGCCCUGGGGAGGCUAGGAUAUUCUGAAAUGAGGAAGAUGGUUCUUAUU